rnacentral:rRNA from 1 species
UACGGGGGGAGCAAGCGUUGUUCGGAUUUACUGGGCGUAAAGGGCGCGUAGGCGGUCAGCACAAGUCAGUUGUGAAAUCUCCGGGCUUAACUCGGAAAGGUCAACUGAUACUGUGCGACUAGAGUGCGGAAGGGGCAACUGGAAUUCUCGGUGUAGCGGUGAAAUGCGUAGAUAUCGAGAGGAACACCGGUGGCGAAAGCGGCUUACUGGGUCUCUUCUGACGCUGAGGUACGAAAGCUAGGGUAGCGAACGGG